UAGGGAAUCUUCCGCAAUGGGCGAAAGCUUGACGGAGCAACGCCGCGUGAGUGAUGAAGGUCUUCGGAUCGUAAAACUCUGUUAUUAGGGAAGAACAAAUGUGUAAGUAACUAUGCACGUCUUGACGGUACCUAAUCAGAAAGCCACGGCUAACUACGUGCCAGCAGCCGCGGUAAUACGUAGGUGGCAAGCGUUAUCCGGAAUUAUUGGGCGUAAAGCGCGCGUAGGCGGUUUUUUAAGUCUGAUGUGAAAGCCCACGGCUCAACCGUGGAGGGUCAUUGGAAACUGGAAAACUUGAGUGCAGAAGAGGAAAGUGGAAUUCCAUGUGUAGCGGUGAAAUGCGCAGAGAUAUGGAGGAACACCAGUGGCGAAGGCGACUUUCUGGUAUGUAACUGACGCUGAUGUGCGAAAGCGUGGGGAUCAAACAGG
rnacentral:rRNA from 1 species